rnacentral:rRNA from 1 species
AGCGAACGCUGGCGGCAGGCUUAACACAUGCAAGUCGAACGCAUCCUUCGGGGUGAGUGGCAGACGGGUGAGUAACACGUGGGAACGUACCCUUCGAUCUGGGAUAACUUCGGGAAACUGGAGCUAAUACCGGAUACGCCCUUUUGGGGAAAGGUUUACUGUCGAAGGAUCGGCCCGCGUCUGAUUGGCUAGUUGGUGGGGUAACGGCCUACCAAGGCGACGAUCAGUAGCUGGUCUGAGAGGAUGAUCAGCCACACUGGGACUGAGACACGGCCCAGACUCCUACGGGAGGCAGCAGUGGGGAAUAUUGGACAAUGGGCGCAAGCCUGAUCCAGCCAUGCCGCGUGAGUGAUGAAGGCCUUAGGGUUGUAAAGCUCUUUUGUCCGGGACGAUAAUGACGGCACCGGAAGAAUAAGCCCCGGCUAACUUCGUG